rnacentral:lncRNA from 1 species
AGCAAGUAACUCUGAAAUAUACAACACCAUAGUUCAGACUGAUGUCAAUGCAGAAACGGGUCUGAGCUCUUGCAUCCCUUCCCCAUCUCCUGUUGUUUGCAGCCACCUGAGUGAUAUCUCUCGUCUGCUUGCAAAUGAGUUGGUUAACCAUGGUGAUAUUUAUUCUGUGAUUCUUCAGAAGUGUCUAUUGCAGCCACCUGAGUGAUAUCUCUCGUCUGCUUGCAAAUGAGUUGGUUAACCAUGGUGAUAUUUAUUCUGUGAUUCUUCAGAAGUGUCUAGGUCAAAAUGGAAGUUGUAAACUUAAC